rnacentral:rRNA from 1 species
CCAGACUCCUACGGGAGGCAGCAGUGGGGAAUAUUGCACAAUGGGGGAAACCCUGAUGCAGCGACGCCGCGUGAGUGAUGAAGUAUUUCGGUAUGUAAAGCUCUAUCAGCAGGGAAGAAAAUGACGGUACCUGACUAAGAAGCACCGGCUAAAUACGUGCCAGCAGCCGCGGUAAUACGUAUGGUGCAAGCGUUAUCCGGAUUUACUGGGUGUAAAGGGAGCGUAGACGGAGAGGCAAGUCUGAUGUGAAAACCCGGGGCUCAACCCCGGGACUGCAUUGGAAACUGUUUUUCUAGAGUGUCGGAGAGGCAAGUGGAAUUCCUAGGGUAGCGGUGAAAUGCGUAGAUGUUAGGAGGAACACCAGUGGCGAAGGCGGCUUGCUGGACGAUGACUGACGUUGAGGCUCGAAAGCGUGGGGAGCAAACAGGAUUAGAUACCCCCGUAA